rnacentral:rRNA from 1 species
CGUAACUGACGCUGAGGAGCGAAAGGGUGGGGAGCAAACAGGCUUAGAUACCCUGGUAGUCCACCCCGUAAACGUUGGGAACUAGUUGUGGGGUCCAUUCCACGGAUUCCGUGACGCAGCUAACGCAUUAAGUUCCCCGCCUGGGGAGUACGGCCGCAAGGCUAAAACUCAAAGGAAUUGACGGGGACCCGCACAAGCGGCGGAGCAUGCGGAUUAAUUCGAUGCAACGCGAAGAACCUUACCAAGGCUUGACAUAUACGAGAACGGGCCAGAAAUGGUCAACUCUUUGGACACUCGUAAACAGGUGGUGCAUGGUUGUCGUCAGCUCGUGUCGUGAGAUGUUGGGUUAAGUCCCGCAACGAGCGCAACCCUCGUUCUAUGUUGCCAGCACGUAAUGGUGGGAACUCAUGGGAUACUGCCGGGGUCAACUCGGAGGAAGGUGGGGAUGACGUCAAAUCAUCAUGCCCCUUAUGUCUUGGGCUUCACGCAUGCUACAAUGGCCGGUACAAAGGGCUGCAAUACCGUGAGGUGGAGCGAAUCCCAAAAAGCCGGUCCCAGUUCGGAUUGAGGUCUGCAACUCGACCUCAUGAAGUCGGAGUCGCUAGUAAUCGCAGAUCAGCAACGCUGCGGUGAA